rnacentral:lncRNA from 1 species
AGAAAUUUCAAUGACCAGGUUCUGGCUUUUAAAGCCAAGUUACAAGACUUUUAUUUUCUAUUUUUUGUCUUUUUGCUCUUGUUUCUUCUGCUACUUGGCCUCUGUUGUUGCUGCUGUUUCUUGUUGUUUGUGUUUGCAGGGUAUAGGAGUGUCAGACGCGUGGAGCAUGGUGACCAAGGCUGAGGGGCAUGCGUGGGGCGUGGUGGCCAAGGCUGAGGGGUAUGCGGCAGUUGAAGGUCUUGGUACCUAGGGUUGGUUGCUGAAAAAUUUUAGGAUAAUGGGCUAGUUGGGCUUUUAGGGUUUUAAUUUUUGUGGGCUGUAAUUGGGUUGGUAACUUUGUUUGUAAAUGGACUUUUAAUUUGGGCUAUUUUAUUUGUGUUUAUUUGCCUGGGCCAAAAUUGGCUACUACAGCUGCCCCUCUUUGCUCGUUGUCGUGUAACGAGAAUGGAGCAAAGACUUUAAAGGGGCCAAUUUUGCCCAGUCCCUCUAAGUCUUGGCUUCUUGGUACUUCUGUUCUUCUAAAAGCCUCGUUCCAUCCCACUGCAUCUUCAGGGGUAUAGACUUGUAACUUUCAUCUGUUCAAUAUAGAUAAUUUGAUCCGACCCUAUUACAACUUUAGAGGUGUAGGACUCGUAAUUCGUAGCUUUGAUCUGGUCCGCUACAACUCCAGGGAAAUAAGAUCCAUUAUCUUCAGCCUGCUCCACUACAAUUUUAUGGAGAUGAGACUUGCGAUUUCAACUUGCUCCGCUAUAACUUCAGGGAGAUAAGGUUUGUUUGGAUCCGCUCUACUGCAACUUCAGAGAGAUAAUAUAUGUGAUUUUCAAUCUACUCCGCUGAAACUUCAAGGAGAUCUGCUGUGGCUUUUAGCCGCUCUAAAGUUAUUUCAGGGAGAGGAUAUUUGAUUUCUAGCCUGUUACCCUACUACUUAGGGGGUUAAGGCUCAUCGCCUUCGAUCUGUUUCCCUACUGGUUAGGGUUAUAAGAUCUGUGAAUUCAACCUGUUACCCUACUGCUUAGGGGUUUAAGGUCUGUAAAUUCAGCUUGUUACCCUACUGCUUAGGGGGUUAAAGCCCAUCACCUUCUAUCUGUUUCCCUACUGCUUAGGGUGUUAAGAUCUGUAAAUUUAGCCUGUUACUCUACUGCUUAGGGGGUUAAAGCCCUUCGUCUUUGAUCUGUUUCCCUACUGCUUAGGGUGACAAGAUCUGUGAAUUCAACCUGUUACCCUACUGCUUAGGGGUUUAAGGUUUGUAAAUUCAGAUUGUUACCCUACUGCUUAGGGGGUUAAAGCCCAUCACCUUCGAUCUGUUUCCCUACUGCUUAGGGUGUUAAGAUCUGUAAAUUUAGCCUGUUACCCUACUGCUUAGGGUGAUAAGAUCUGUGAAUUCAACCUGUUACCCUACUGCUUAGGGGUUUAAAGUCUGUAAAUUCGGCUUGUUACCCUACUGCUUAGGGGGUCAAGACCCUUUGUCUUCGAUUUGCUCCACUACUGCUUAGGGAGAUAAGAUCGGCAAUUCGGUCUGUUACCCUACUACAUAGGGGUUUAAGAUUUGUAAAUUUAGCCUGUUACCCUACUGGUUAGGGGGUUAAGGCUUGUGGAUUCACCGAUUCCACUGCACUGUCCUUUGAGGAACAUGAUCUGUAAAAUCAGUUUCAUGUAUCUAUGCUUAUGCCAAAUAAUUAAGAUGCAAUGAUUGAAAUGAAUCAAAUGCUCCUAACUAAAUGUGAUGCUUAUGUCAAAUAAUUAGGAUGCUAUGAUCGAAAUGAAUCAAAUGCUCCUAACUAGAUGUGUUAUGAAUGACAUGAAAAUGAUCCAUUUAAAAAGGCUUAAGGUAUCAUCAUUCGUUGCUCAUCAGGACAUUAUCACUGACGUAUUACGCUGCCAUCUUGUUCGGUUGGUAUUCUUGACAAGAAAGUCAAAAAACAAUCACAUUUUGCUCAGCAAGCUUGCCCCGCUGUAAUUUCAAAGUUUCUUCCACUGUAGCUUCUAGGACAUAAAGUUUGUACUUCCUGCUGCAUUUCAGGGGAAUAAUAAUUUGAUUUCUUCUAUCCAUCCUGCUGCCACUCAGAGGUAUAGGAUUUGCGUCAUCUUCAAUUAAUUUGAUCUAUUACACCAUUCCCUAGGUGUAAUGAACAAAUGUAUAUGCCUGAUAUCUGUAUGAAUACAGAAUACCAUUUUUAUUUUCUUGAGAAUAAUCCCAUUGCUUGUUCUUUGCCAGGAUUGUAUCACCGAUGAAAUGUCUUGUCUUUUGGUUUAACCAAUAAAGAGUCCAAAGAGAUAAUCAUCUUUUCUUCAAUAUUUCCAACCCUUAGGCUUGGUGAGUUCUAAACAAUAGUCCUGUUUCAGGUUCUUGUAUUAGUUAGAAACUUCCAGAGUAAUAUGCAAAACUUCUUUUGUGAAAGUGUUUUUAGUCCAUUAAUCAUUAUUUCAAUGCAAAAUGCCUGAAAAAGAUCAAAACAAGAAGGAAAUUGAUUAGGAGCAUAGCUCAAAAUGGAUAAAUUAAUCAGAGAUUGCAAAUGCAAUAAGAAGGAAAUUAACUCAAAACGAAUGAGUUAAUCAAAUAUAGCAAAUUUAAAAUGGGUAGAAUGGAAAACUAAGUGCCCCAGAUAUCGUAGCUUGAGCUUCUCUUGUACCAACUUCUUAAGGACUUUUCUAAGCUCAAUACGUGUUUAGGAGAUUCAAAGCACUUUGUUGAUGCCCAAAGACGUAGCAUACUUCUUCAUUGUUAAUUCAGGUAUAGCAAGACUGUUGUAUGCCCCACUUGGAUCCAAAUUUGAGCCGCCCUUUCCGGGUUUUCAACUCAAAUCCCCUUUGGUCUCAAAGUGCCCUUUGCGGGUUUUCACUUUGGCCUCUCCUUUUUCUCCUUUUUCUUUCUUUCUUUUUUUUUGAAGGUGUCAAAGCGCCCUUUGCGGGUUUUCGCCUUGGCCUCUCAUUUUCUAGGUGAAAUACUUCUUGACGAAAUCUGAAUUCACCGACUUGGGCAAAUCUUUGCCAUCCCUCUCGGUCAACAUUAAUGCCCCUCCAAAAUAGGUCUUCUUUACUACAUAAAGUUCUUCUCAGUUCGACAUCUAUUUUUUUCUCUGAAGUCCUUUAUAUAGGAGGGAUCUUUUCAUUAUCAAGUUCCCCUCGUGGAACUCUCUAGGAUGAACCUCUUCAUCGUAAGCUCAUAUCGUUCAUUGGACCAUGACGAAUGGCUUUCAACCUCCUUUCUUCGAAUUCAACUGAUCGUAUCGGGAUUGUCUUAUCCACCUUCAGGUCUGACAAGACUCAGAGGCAAGAAAUCUUUUCUUUAAAAUCGUUUUUAUCCUAUAGACUGAUGAAAUACGCGGCCCCGGUGAAGGUCUUGGCCAACGUUCGAUGAGCAUAGAGGGUAAAUGGUGACUUCUUAUGCCAAUCUUUACAAGUCUCGGUCAUCUUCCCCAUUAUCUUUAAUUUGUUUUUGGGUCUCUUUUUCUUUUUUCUGUUUUUUUUUUUUGCCUUUGCCUUUGCCAUAUAGCGUCUAAUCUUUGAACAGACUGCAACCUUUUGACAUUGUACAGCUGUGUUAGACAUGAUUUUCUGGCACUCUUUGUUGGCACCCUUUUUUUUUUUUUAGAAUUUGAUGACUGUCGACCUAGUGACAUUGGCAUAUGAUACAACUUUUACCCUUUCCGCGGAGUAAUCGACGACCCCAAAGGCGAAUCGGUAUUGGUUAAAAGCUUUCAAAGAGAUUGGCCCAUAACCUUCAUGCCCCUACAUAGAGAAAGUCUACGGAGAAAUGAAGGAGCACAUGAAUCUCGUCUCCAUUUGGCAUUUAUGACACUGAUGUAAUCCCUUUCUACGGUGGAUCGGCAGAAACCAAAUCUCAUGAUUAGCUCGGCCAUCGUACAUGUCAUUAGUAUAUGUCGUUCAAAACCUUGUGAUAUCCUCACGUCUUAGUGGCCAGGCGUAUCUUGAUACAGUCGCGCAAAAAAAAUUACAUUCUUGGAAAUGAUUCAAUGACGUCUCACUUUGUCUUUGUGGUAAUGCAGACUCCGAUGUUUGCCUCUUUUUCUUGUCCUAGGCUCACUGUCCACUGACUCUUUGUAAGGUAGGAUAUCUUGUUCUACCAUUCUUAACAAAUCUGGAGAUAGGUUAUCAUCUCAGUCAUCUUCAAAGUGAUGAAAUCCCAUUAGGCCAAUAUUUUGUUCAAAAGGAGACUCGGAGUCGGUGACAGCAUCGCUCAUAUCAUUGAUAUCUGGGGACCUGUUGUAGGUACGAAGGCAGAUUUCAAAGAAUAAAUGAUUCUAAGGAUGAUUAUUUGUAUGGUAUGGUCAUGAAUGAAAAAUAAAUGAAUAUUUAAAAGAAAGUUUAAAGAACAAAUGAAUCUAAGAAUGAUUAUUUGUAUAGUAUGAAAUGAAAUAAGAGAAUGUUUGCUAAAAAAAGAUGCAUUUUAUUGAAGCAAAGAUUUAGGACACAAGCCUAUUUCACAAAAGGGGUCUAAUUGCUUCUAGGCUUAAAGCAACAAGUGUGUUUUGAAUAUUACUCUAGAUUAACUCUAAAAAUAAAGGGAUCUCUUCCACAGUCCCAUUGUUCAAAACACUUCCAAGUAAUGCAAGGGUUUGGAAACUUUUAUUCCUGGUUCCUUCUUCGGAUGAGUCAUUCAGAUUCCCCGAUAUUCCUUCCAGACUUUUGGCUUUUUUAAGGCAUUGCAACUCUUUUGCCCCCACUUUCAGAUCGUAUUUACUGCAUUGUCAGAGCGAUUUGGUUAUGAGGAAUUGUCAAACUUCACAACUCCCAUUUCAAUAAACUUUUCGACCAACUUUUUAAAUGUAGUACAGUUUUCGAUUGAGUGCCCCGUUAUUCCUGCGUGGUACUCGCAUUGAGCAUUCUCAUUAUACCAUUUCGGGAACGGAGGUUGUAAAGGUUCUGAGUAAGACGGAGACACAACAUGCACAUCAAAGAGAUUUAAUACAACUCAUUAUAUGACACUGGGAUGGGUGUAAACCAGAGCCUUUCUGUAUUCGAUCUUGAGUUAGAUUCCUGCCUCGAAGGGCCUUGAUAGCUAGUGGUUACAGUCCUCGGUUGGCCUAUGUUGAGUAAUUUGGAAGGCAUGCUCAUAAUGUUCACUUCAUUUUCGCUGUUUCUCGGGGUUGACCUUUUAGCGCUUUCUCCUACAUCUAUCUUCCCACUCAUGAUUGCAUUUUCAAUCAUCUCACCGGACAUUACUAUGUCUGAGAAGCUCAGGGUAGCGCUUCCCAACAUAUGGGUAAUGAACGGGGCUUUAAGAGUGUUAACGAAAAGCAUCAUAGUUUUUUUUUCUAGAAGAGGUGGCUGGACUUGUAUCGCUACCUCUCUCUAUCUUUGGGCAUAUUACCUUAAGCUCUCACUUUGCUUCUUUUCCAUAUUUUGCAGUAUAAUUCUGUCGGACGGCAUGUCAGUCACGUGGCCAUACUGCUUCAUGAAAGCCCUUGCUAAGUCUUUCCAUGAAUUGAUUUUAGCACGACUUAAUUUAUUGUACCAUUUAGUUGCUGACCCGAUCAGACUGUCUUGAAAGCAAUGAAUUAAUAAUUGGUCGUUAUUAACAUAUCCUGUUAUCCUUCGACAGAACAUUGUAAUGUGAGCUUCAGGACAACUAGUCCCAUUAUACUUUUCAAACUCUGGAGUCUUAAAUUUUGGCGGGAGUACUAGAUCAAGGACCAAAUUCAGAUCCUUGGCAUCAACCUCGCUAUGGUAAUCAGCAUUCUCCAUCACUCUAAGUUUUUCUUCCAACCACUUGUAUCGAUCUUCGAGUUGUCUUGCCAGUUCAACCUUUUCUUUUCCUAUUCCUUCCAUUUCGUCUAAAUCAGGAACUUCAUGAUUGGUUGGAUUGUUCCUUGGAUUGGAACCUGAGCCCGUCAGGUAGUUCAUGGGUGCUGAGGUACCGACCUGAUGUUGUUGUGAUCUGAUAGCAAUAGGUACAUCUUGCGGACGUGUCUGAUCGUUUAUCGGGGUGAAACUCGGAGGGUAUAGAGGCUCCUCGUUGUCCUCCCCAGCAUUGAUCAUGGAGUUUUUUCCUUUUCCUAGCCCCUUAGCCAGUAAUUGGGACAACUGAUUCAUCGUAUUCCUUUGGGACUCUAGUAUUUGGUCCCUUAUAUCUUGCUGGAUCUUCACCAGUUGCUCUUGCAUUUGUAGUUGUAACUGGUCUUGCAUCUCUUUUUGAAGUUGUUCCAGUCUUUCCAAUCUUUGAUCCAUAUCUUUUAUCCUUUUCCUUGUACCGUAAAGAUGCCUAGUUGCUUGACUUUUACCGGUUUCCAGAUUAACUGAAAUAAUUUUACCUAAUUAGGGUUUUUUUAGGGAAAGUCUAGUGCAAAUAAUGCAAUGCAAUGCAAAUGCAUGAAAUGUAUGCAAAAGAAAGGAAGGCAUUGAUUCUGAAUUCAAUUUCAUUAGAAUAACUUUUCUAGAAGACAAAUUCCUUUACAUAAAACAGAUUACAUAUACGGCCUUUCUCAUAUUCUAAGUGAAGACACAUAUCUUCCUCUUCGCGUCCGGAUUUUAUGGUUGAGUCUUGCAAAUUCCCCAAGAGAUGUCUAUAUUAACUCCUUUUUGCUUGAUCCAGGCCGCGACUCGUUGUUCACUUAUUUUUGUGAUACUUGUCAGCUCUUUUAAGAAAGUCAAGACGUGACGGCUCUCGAAUAAUCUUUGUCAGUUUUUGUCCUAAGGCAAUGAAGCAAAGUCUUGUAUUUCUUCACGGACUAUCAGUCUUCUUUCAUGUGUUCACUUGGACUAUAUUUAGACAACCGUAUUAUAAUCCACUUUAUCAAAAAAUUCGUUUUCUUAUGACAAACUGUUCUAUUUAGCAAUCAAAUAUGAAUCAACACCUCCUUCCUAGGAUGAUGUAAUGCAAUGCAAUCACAAAUAAAACAAAAAUAAAACACAUUAGUGCAGGAUAAAUAAAUAACAAAUAAAGCAAUUCGGGUGACCACUAGGGGUUCGGAGUGGCUCUACCUAGGGUGGGCUCUUAGGUCUCUCUAUAUGUGGCUUGAUUCUAGAGUAAGGGUACCCGAACCAACAGAUUCCUCGAUCUUCACCCAUUAUAAGCUCAUGUAGAUCGAGUUCGAUCCAGGGGAAUACAUUUCCCUAUGACCAUGCAGAGAUGAAAAUCUCACGAAGACAUAGGUACAGAUGUUUCCCGAAAGCGAUCCACUAUCCUGCACGGAGGUGAAAACCUCACGAAGGAAUAGUUUCUCACUCCCACUUAAAAGGUGUGACCACAAUGGUCAUGCAAUGCAAUGUGAGAGGAUAUAUGCAUAAAAACAUGAAGCGAUUAAAGAAAAUAGGAAUAAAAUGAUGAAAACAAUAUGAAAAAUGGGCGAAAUGCAAUGAAGAGAUCGUAUAUCAAAACCCAAAUUCUCAAUUUUCGAAAAAAAAAGAAGACAAAAGUUAAUCAACUUGUGGCUUGACUCUCUUAUAAAAGUCCCCAGCGGAGUCGCCAAGCUGUCGUAACCAUUUUUUUUAAAUGGGGAUCGACUUUGGUUUUGAAAGUGAAAAUUAAAACGAGAGUCGCCACCAAUCCUUUUUGAUGAGGUAUGAUCGGAUCACCUUAGAUUAAUCAUUUUAAUAAAAUUUAAGCUUUACUAAAACGAUAAUUUUUGGUCUACGAAAAUCAAAAAACGAGUUCGGGAGUCGGUUACGCAUGAAAAAGGGUUAACACCCUCGAUACGCCCAAAAUUGGUACCUAGUUGAUUAAUUAGUGUCUUAGUGUCGAAAAUUUGAAAACUUGAUAGAAUUUAAAAUACGAUCCCUCUUUGUAUUAAUGCUAAUUUUAAAAAAAUGAUUGAAUAAAUUAAAACGGAUGUUAAGGACUCUCUCAUCUCGAGGUAAUAAAAUAUCAUGUCCAGUAAGUUAGGACACGACAUCUCGAACUUUGGGACUGAGCUUGCCUUUUAUUUAAAAUUAAUGUAUUUUAACUUCUUUUAAAAGGAUAUUCGGUUAAUUAGGAUGAACGAGGAAAAUCGAAACCCAGUAAGUUAGGGCACGUUUCCCCGAAUUUCGAACAUCGAAUAUUGCCUUUAUGAAAGAAUUAUUUUCGUUGGGUAAUUAAUAUAAAUUCGUGGUAAAGUGGAAUAGCGAAAAAUGAACAAACAAAUAUGAAUUUCGAUAUCAAUGAACAUAACAUAAUAAAAAUAAAUGCAUAAUAAGAAUGAUGAGAUCAGAAAUAGAGGAGUAAAACAAACAAGCAAUGUAAGAGAAAAAUAAAAAAUUAAUAAUAAUUAUAAUAGUAAAAAUAAUAAUAGUAAUAAUAGCUAAGUGGGAAAUAGUAACAGUACAUUAAUAAGACAAAUAAUAUAAUAAUAGUGAUAGCACUAAAGAAAAGAAAAAAAAAUAUUAAUAAUAGUAAUAAAUAUAAUAGUAAUAAAUAGAAAAUAAUAGUACAUUAAUAAUAAUAGUAUAUGUUAAUAUCAAUAAUGAUAUGUAUAAAAAAGGAAAUAAUAAUAUGGUAAAAAAAUAUGUUAAUAAAAAUAAAAAUAGAAAUAAAAAUAAUAGUAAUAAUGCUAUUAAUAAUAGUAAUCAAAAAGAAAAAAGAAAAAAAAAUAUAUAUAACGAUGAAUGUAACGCCCCAAUUUUCGGGAAUUCUGUGAAUGAUGGCAUAGGUUUAAUUAUGUUAGUGGGCCUCUAGAAGGCCCAAGCUUAAGAUAGAACCCGGCAAUUUUAGUUAAUUUUUGUUCCAUAAGAAAAAGGGGGUGAAAUUAUGAAAUAGAACUUAUGUAAAAAUGUUUGAAAAUGCUAUAGGCUAAAUUGAAGUGGCCAAAUAAAUAGGAGUGCAAAAUAGGAGGAUUUGCAUGACAAACCUCCCAUUUUACAUGAAGUGGCCAGCCAUCAUGUUGUUGUAGACAAUAUGAGCAUUUGAUAUCCAUAAUUCAUGGUACAAAUUGAUAGUGGGUUAGGUAAAUGUUCCAUGAUAAUGGAUUAGGUAAAUAUUCCAUGAUAAUGGGUUAGGUAAAUGUUCCAUGAUAAUGGUUUAGGUAAAUGUUCCAUGAUGGGCAUUUCAUGUCUUUUGUAUUAAAGAAUUAAAUGGAUGAAAUAUGAAAUUUUAUUAAAAGAAAAAGGGGUGAAAAGAACAAAGUUUUGUCCAUCUUUAUUCAUCAUAGCCGAAAGUUAGAGAAGAAAAAGGAGAGGAGAAAGCUCUUGAAUGUUCAGUCACUUGGGGAAGAAAAUUUAAGGUAAGUUCAUGGUAGUUUGCUUCUAUCUUGAUGUUCAUGAGUUCUUCUUGAUUCUACCUUAACUCUUGAAGCAUAUUUUGGUUUUUAGUUGUGUUGUGAGCAUUUAGUCAUGAAUUAAAAUAAAGGAAAUGGUUGUUGUUUCAUGUUCUUUUGAUGAAAAAUGGAAGAUAGGUGAAGUUGAGCCAAACAAAUGAGCAUGCAUGUGCAUUAGAUGCUAAGGGGAAAAAUCGGCUAACAUGUUGUGCUUUAAAAUGAUGAAAUGGAGAUUAUACUUAAGUAAAAUCAUAGAUAUGUGAUGAUUGAUUGGUGAUAUACAUGUUUAAAUAACAAGCAUGCAAGUUAGGUGUGAAAGAGUGAUUUGGGAAUAAAUCUGCUGGGGACAGCAGCAGUAACGUGACUUUGGAAAAUCACCAUAAAUUGUGGGAGAUGAGUUAGAAGCUGCAUAAAUUAUGUAAUUAAAGCUUAAUGAGUCUAGUUUCAAAUGAAAUAAACGAGAACAUAUUUUGAAUUCUGUACAAUGAGAAAUUUGAUUCGUAAUGAAGAGUGGUCAGAUUAGUCAAACAGUGAAACAUGGGAAACUUUAAGAAAAAUCUGGUAUUGAUUGGCUAAACCAAAAAUUCUGAAAAUUUUAUGGAUAGAAGAUAUAUGAGUCUAUUUUCAGGUAAAAUUAACGACACUUGAUUUGGAGUUUCGUAGCUCCAGUUAUAAAUGAUUUAGUGACUGUUGCUCAGGAAGACAGCUUGCAGUGAAAUUAUGAUUAUGUGGUAAACACUGACAAAAAUUUGUUAAUGAGUUGCUUAUUGAUUUCUUAUAAGCUUACUCUGAUCUGUAGGUGUGGUUGGCCGAAUAUUGUAAGGGGUUAAUACGUAGUUCGUAUUUGAAUAGCUAGAUUAAUGUGUUAGUAAUCCAAUUGUAGGCAGUUUGUGUGUGGAUCUCAUCAGCAUAUCAUCACAAACAGGUGUGUAACUAACACCCUCUUUCUUAGUCUGGAUCGGCAAAAGUCGAAAAGCCGAAAUGCCGAAAACCGGUAUUUUGUAGAUUUGCGAGUGUGCGAAUGCUCGUGAGGUAAAUCGAUUAAUGUUUUUGGUAAGCUGCAAAAUUUGGACUGCAAAGUACAUGAUUUUUGUGCCCUCGAUAUUUUUGGGCUUAAUGGGCCAAAAUUGGAAUGAUGGGCUAACGGGACCAAUUCGGUAAGAACCCUCGGUACGUGAUUCUGUUAGCACGUGAAAAGUAAGAAUAUGCAUGAAAAACCCUAAAAUAGAUAAAUUACUGAAAUACCUUUAAAAGUGAAAAAUUUACAGUUUUACCCCUAGUAGAUAAAUUACCGAAAUACCCCUAGGGUUAAAUUGACCUAAAUGCAUGUUUGACUGUUGUUAUUUACUGCAUGCCAUGUUGUUAUUAUCUGAUGCAUGGGAUUGGGAUAUUGACGGAGGAAGUACUGAAAGUGACUUGUCCACGUACUGGAGGCUUUGCCUCAAUUUACUGUUAACUGAGCAGCAAGGCUGCAACUGUGGAGUGUUGGCCUGGGUGGGUUGAGCUAUUCCCCACAUGGAGUGUAGGGCUGGUACGGGUGGAGUGUAGUGGUUGGUGGGUUGAGUAGUCUCCCCAAAUGGGCUUGCAUAUGUUAUUGAUGUUGCAUGUAUUUUGAAAUGGGCCUAUGGGCCAUACUGUUAUCUGAAUAAGGGGCUAAGGCCCAGUUUAUUGUAAUAUGAAAAGGGCUCUGGUCUAGUACCACUGUUACCUGAAUGGGCUUAGGCCCAAUAGGCUUGAGCUGACUUGGGCUUUGAAUGGGUUUUCCUUACACACUGAGUUUCCCCAAACUCACCCCUUUUAUUUUCAUCCACACAAGAAAUCCCCAACCAUAGUGAGUUUGGAGCUGUGAGGGAAUUCGGAGUGGCCACCCGUUCUGAAAGUUUGGUUUUCUUCUGGUGAACUAGACAUCCUAUUAUUUACGUUUGAAGUUUUGGGUUUUUAAAUGUAAUAAGGCCGCUUAAUUAUUUUUGAUGGUUUUAAUAUGUAUUACUAAGAUAGGUAUUACUUAUUUUAACUGUUGAAAUUGGAUAGCUUUAGGGCGCGUUUUCAAAAAUAACAAUUGAUUUUAAAAUAACACGACAACAAGCAAAGCUUCCGCAAUGAAAGUAUUUUCCAAAAUUAAUCACUUUUCCUAAAAAUGACAUAAUCAAAUCGGUUUCCUAGAAAUAUCCAUGACGUUAAGGUGUGGCAAUGGCGGUAUGCAUGUCUAGGAUUGAAUCCGAAGGGAGCUUGGUACUUAAGCAGUCCGAUGGACUCACCACCUCUUUUUCGGUUUCCUACCUGGUGCACAGCUUCCAUUCACUUUAACCUAUAAUGAAAUUAUCUUUUAAAACACUAAGUAGGUUUUUCUAGAUCAACAAUAUAAAAUGUUUUGAACGCUUCGAUGUGGCAUGUCGGAUCCGGCCAUAACGUCUGGGCCGGGUUUGGGGUGUUACAAUGAAAAGUAAUGAUAAUAAUUAUUAUAAUAGUAAUGAUAUAAAAUCAAUGAGGUAAUAAGCAAAUGGGUAUAAAAAGAAAAUAUAAUCAUAGUAAUAAUAGUUGUAGUAAUAAUAAUAGUAAGAAAAAUAGUGAUAAUAUAACAAUAAUAGUAAUAUAACAAAAGAAUAAUAAUAAUAAUAGUAAUGGAGAUAAUAAUAAUAAUAAUAAUGAUACUAAUAAUAAUAUAAAUAAAAAUAUAAACAACAAAAAAAAUAGCAAUAGCAAUAAUAAUAAUGGAAUGAAGGUAAUAAUAAUAAUAGUAAAUAAUAUGCAAGAAAAUAAAAUACAAUUAUAAUACCAUAAUGUUAAAUAAUAAAAUAAAAUAUAAAAGAAAAGGACGAAAAGGGGCUAAUUUGAACUCUAGAUAGAAAUUUGGGGCGAAAAUAAUAAAAUAAAAAGAAAUGGGACCGAAAUGCUAAUAUACAUAAGUGUCAAAGCCAAAUUAAAAAGAAAUGAAAUAAAUGAGGCAUGAUUGAAUGUUUGCGCAAAUGGGAAGGACCUAAUGCACAAUUCCCCCAUUUUCAAUUAAAAGGCACAUAUUAGGCCUGAUAAACGGGUUAAAGUGCAGGCCUUCUUUUUUAAAAAAAAACUUAAAACCCCAUUUUUUUUAUUUUGUGUUUCCAGCCCCCCCCCCUUUUUUAAGAAAACAGAAAGCUUUUUGUUUUCUCUCCUUCCCCUUUUCUCCCCCAUUUCUCUCUUUUUGGCUAGGGCUUCAUACCCAUCAUCGCCGCCGCCAUUAAGGCCACCAUGGACGGUGGUUGAAGGCAUGUGAAAAGGAGGGUUUUUCACCUCCGUUUAAAGAGUUUGAAAACCGAGCCUCCUCAAAACCCCCUCAAAAAAACGAUAUAUGAAAGAAAGGCCCCUUUUUCUCUCUUGAAAUCGACUUCAGCGACGGAGAGGAGAACUCCGAUGGCCGACCACGGGGCGUUCGGAUAAGGUUCUCCUCUUUUUGUUUUCUUUUUAUUGAUUUUUCUAUUUAAAAUAGAUUUGUAAUGAAAAUAAAAAGAUAAAAAAAUAUAAAUUGAACAAAAAGAAACCGAACAAGUAGAGACUAAAAUCAACCUUUCUUGAUUUUGUUUUCUUGAUUUUUUACUGAUGUGUGUGUAAAAAGCUUUUGUAAAAAAAGAAGAAGAAAUUUCAAUGACCAAGUUCUGGCUUUUAAAGCCAAGUUACAAGACUUUUAUUUUCUAUUUUUUGUCUUUUUGCUCUUGUUUCUUCUGCUACUUGGCCUCUGUUGUUGCUGUUGUUUCUUGUUGUUUGUGUUUGCAAGGUAUAGGAGUGUCAGACGCGUGGAGCGUGGUGACCAAGGCUGAGGGGCAUGCGUGGGGCGUGGUGGCCAAGGCUGAGGGGUAUGCGGCGGCUGAAGGUCUUGGUACCUAGGGUUGGUUGCUGAAAAAUUUUAGGAUAGUGGGCUAGUUGGGCUUUUAGGGUUUUAAAUUUUUUGGGUUAUAAUUGGGUUGGUAACUUUGUUUGUAAAUGACUUUUAAUUUGGGUUAUUUUAUUUGUGUUUAUUUGCCUGGGCCAAAAUUGGCUACUACAAGAUUAAAACAAGUUUUUAUAUUUUUAGAGGGCCA